AUCUACUCCAACUGUGCCAUCAUCAUCUACUCCAACUGUGGCAUCUUCAUCUGUUCCAACUGUUCUUACAUAUGAAGACUAUUGCCAGUAUAGAGC
rnacentral:lncRNA from 1 species